GACGAAGGGGGCUAGCGUUGUUCGGAAUUACUGGGCGUAAAGCGUGCGCAGGCGGUGAGCUGUGUCCGAUGUGAAAGCCCCGGGCUUAACCUGGGAAUGGCAUUGGAAACUGGCUCGCUGGAGUGUGGCAGAGGGGGGUGGAAUUCCGCGUGUAGCAGUGAAAUGCGUAGAGAUGCGGAGGAACACCGAUGGCGAAGGCAGCCCCCUGGGCUAACACUGACGUUCAGGCACGAAAGCGUGGGGAGCAAAAGGG
rnacentral:rRNA from 1 species